CAAUUACCGAGGAGGCUUCCAUCUCCUAAGCCUGUGGGGAAAAAUCGGGCUCCCAAGGUGCGAGGGGGUGGCAUCACUUAGCCGCAUCACCGUUCGCACAAAAUUAGUGCCUUUGUACAAAGCCAGUGCGACCCCACAACCCAUUGACCAUUGGGGCAGCCGCCUCCUGAUGGGCGAUGAUCCGCCACUUGUUUCUUCUGCGAUCUUUUGCCUCGAUCGGUCCCCAUACUGUGACAGGGACUCAGGAGACACAGAAAACAUUUUUUUUUUUUUGCGGGAAAACAUUAAAUAGGCUUCGUAGAGAUGGAGAGAAAGCCAAGGGGAAGGAAUUGCGCGGCAGAGAGUGAGGGGCUCACUCUACUUCUCUGUCGAGGAAUGAACAGACGAGGAGCACCGACACUGCAGCAGGAGAGGGACCCGAGUUCGGAGCACCCCGUGCCUGCUUUGCGCAAACACAGUGAGCAAGAAGUACCUGGGAAUUUAUAGUCCCCAGGAUAGCCCUUAUCCUAUGAUGACGUGUGAGAGAAUAUGAGGACUCCAGCUCCCUUGCCUGAGUUGACAGUUUUAUGGCAACCACGAAGGGACCCAGAGUGGACUUCUCUCCUUCGCCUAAACUGCACGAGGAACCCGAGCCUUGGUACCAGCAGAGGCCCCUUACACCCAUCUGCCUCCUUGGAGAGUCCAGAUGAAUUUGGAUAUAUGUAUGUCUCAGUAUGUGUGUCCCUUUGGAUAAUGCUGCUGAGGUUAAUUUGUAAAUGACCUCUACUUAACUGGCUUAAGAAAAAGUAAGCACUGACAUUCACAGAAAGAUAGACAAGAUGAAAAGGCAGGGGGCUAUGAACCAGAUGAAGGAACAAGAUAAAACCCCAGAAAAACAACUAAAUGAAGUAGAGAUAGGCAACCUUCCAGAAAAAGAAUUCAGAAUAAUGAUAGUGAAGAUGAUCCAGGACCUCGGAAAAAGAAUGGAGGCAAAGAUCAAGAAGAUGCAAGAAAUGUUUGACAAAGACCUAGAAGAAUUAAAGAACAAACAAACAGAGAUAAACAAUACAAUAACUGAAAUGAAAACUACACUAGAAGGAAUCAAUAGCAGAAUAACUGAGGCAGAAGAACGGAUAAGUGACCUGGAAGACAGAAUGGUGGAAUUCACUGCUGCAGAACAGAAUAAAGAAAAAAGAAUGAAAAGAAAUGAAGACAGCCUAAGAGACCUCUGGGACAACAUUAAACGCAACAACAUUCGCAUUAUAGGGGUCACAGAAGGAGAACAGAGAGAGAAAGGACCCAAGAAAAUAUUUGAACAGAUUAUAGUCAAAAACUUCCCUAAUAUGGGAAAGGAAAUAGCCACCCAAGUCCAGGAAGUGCAGAGAGUCCCAUACAGAAUAAACCCAAGGAGAAACAUGCCGAGACACAUAGUAAUCAAAUUGGCAAAAAUUAAAAACAAAGAAAAAUUAUUGAAAGCAGCAAGGGAAAAACGACAAAUAACAUACAAGGGAACUCCCAUAAGAUUAACAGCUGAUUUCUCAGCAGAAACUCUACAAGCCAGAAGGGAGUGGCAUGACAUACUUAAAGUGAUGAAAGGGAAGAACUGACAACCAAGAUUACUCUACCCGGCAAGGAUCUCAUUCAGAUUCGAUGGAGAAAUCAAAAGCUUUACAGACAAAACAAAAGCUAAAAGAAUUCAGCACCACCAAACCAGCUCUACAACAAAUGCUAAAGGAACUUCUCUUAAGUGGGAAACACAGGACAAGAAAAGGACCCACAAAAACAAAUCCAAAACAAUUAAGAAAAUGGUAAAAGGAACAUACAUAUCGAUAAUUACCUUAAAUGUGAAUGGAUUAAAUGCUCCAACCAAAAGACACAGGCUUGCUGAAUGGAUACAAAACCAAGACCCAUAUACAUGCUGUCUAUAAGAGACCCACUUCAGACCCUGGGACACAUACAGACUGAAAGUGAGGGGAUGGAAAAAGAUAUUCCAUGCAAAUGGAAAUCAAAAGAAAGCUGGAGUAGCAAUACUCAUAUCAGAUAAAAUAGACUUUAAAAUAAAGAAUGUUACAAGAGACAAGGAAGGGCACUACAUCAUGAUCAAGGGACCAAACCAAGAAGAAGAUAUAACAAUUAUAUAUGCACCCAACAUAGGGGCACCUCAAUACAUAAGGCAACUGCUAACAGCUAUAAAAGAGGAAAUCGACAGUAACACAAUAAUAGUGGGGGACUUUAACACCUCACUUACAUCAAUGGACAGAUCUUCCAGACAGAAAAUUAAUAAGGAAACACAAGCUCUAAAUGACACAAUAGACCACAUAGAGUUAAUGGAUAUUUAUAGGACUUCCAUCCAAAAACAGAUUACACUUUCUUCUCAAGUGCGCACGGAACAUUCUCCAGGAUAGAUCACAUCUUGGGUCACAAAUCAAGCCUCAGUAAAUUUAAGAAAACUGAAAUCAUAUCAAGCAUCUUUUCUGACCACAACGCUAUGAGAUUAGAAAUCAAUUACCGGGAAAAAAACAUAAAAAACACAAACACAUGGAGGCUAAACAAUACGUUACUAAAUAACCAAGAGAUCACUGAAGAAAUCAAAGAGGAAAUCAAAGAUACCUAGAGACAAAUGACAAUGAAAACACGAUGAUCCAAAACCUAUGGGAUGCAGCAAAAGCAGUUCUAAGAGGGAAGUUUAUAACAACACAAUCCUACCAAAGGAAACAACAAACAUCUCAAAUAAACAAUCUAAUCUUACACCAAAAAGAACUAUAGAAAGAAGAACAAACAAUACCCAAAGUUAGUAGAAGGAAAGAAAUCAUAAAGAUCAGAGCAGAAAUAAAUGAAAUAGAAACAAAGAAAACAAUAGCAAAGAUCAAUAAAACUAAAAGCUGGUUCUCUGAGAAGAUAAACAAAAUUGAUAAACCAUUAGCCAGACUCAUGAAGAAAAAGAGGGAGGGGACUCAAAUCAAUAAAAUUAGAAAUGAAAAAGGAGAAGUUACAACAGACACUGCAGAAAUACAAAGCAUCCUAAGAGACUACUACAAGCAACUCUAUGCCAAUAAAGUGGACAACGUGGAAGAAAUGGACAAAUUCUUAGAAAGGUAUAACCUUCCAAGACUGAACCAGGAAGAAAAAAUAGAAAAUAUGAACAGACCAAUCACAAGUAAUGAAACUGUGAUUAAAAAUCUUCCAACAAACAAAAGUCCAGGACCAGAUGGCUUCACAGGUGAAUUCUAUCAAACAUUUAGAGAAGAGCUAACAAUCCUUCUCAAACUCUUCCAAAACACUGCAGAGGAAGGAACACUCCUAAACUCAUUCUGAGGCCACCAUCACCCUGAUACCAGAACCAGACAAAGAUACUACAAAGAAAGAAAAUUACAGACCAAUAUCACUGAUGAAUAUAGAUGGAAAAAUCCUCAACAAAAUAGUAGCAAACAGAAUCCAACAACACAUUAAAAGGAUCAUACACCAUGAUCAAGUGGGAUUUAUCCCAGGGAUGCAAGGAUUCUUCAAUAUAUGCAAAUCAAUAAAUGUGAUACACCAUAUUAACAAACUGAAGAAUAAAAACCAUAUGAUCAUCUCAAUAGAGGCAGAGAAAGCUUUUGACAAAAUUCAACACCGAUUUAUGAAAAAACUCUCCAGAAAGUGGGCAUAGAGGGAACCUACCUCAACAUAAUAAAGGCCAUAUAUGACAAACCCACCGCAAACAUCAUUCUCAAUGGUGAAAAACUGAAAGCAUUUCCUCUAAGAUCAGAAACAAGACAAGGAUGUCCACUCUCACCACUAUUAUUCAACAUAGUUUUGGAAGUCCUAGUCACGGCAAUCAGAGAAGAAAAAGAAAUAAAAGGAAUACAAACUGGAAAAGAAGAAGUAAAACUGUCACUGUUUGCAGAUGACAUGAUACUAUACAUAGAGAAUCCUAAAGAUGCCACCAGAAAACUACUAGAGCUAAUCAAUGAAUAUGGUAAAGUUGCAGAAUAAAAAAUUAAUGCACAGAAAUGUCUUGCAUUCCUAUACACUAAUGAUGAAAAAUCUGAAAGAGAAAUUAAGGAAACACUCCCAUUUACCACUGCAACAAAAAGAAUAAAAUACCUAGGAAUAAAUCUACCAAGAGAGAAAAAAGACCUGUAUGCAGAAAAGACAGUGAUGAAAGAAAUUAAAGAUGAUACAAACAGAUGGAGAGAUAUACCAUGUUCUUUGAUUGGAAGAAUCAAUAUUGUGAAAAUGACUAUACUACCCAAAGCAAUCUGCAGAUUCAAUGCAAUCCCUAUCAAACUACCAAUGGCAUUUUUUACAGAACUAGAACAAAAAACCUUAAAUUUUGUAUGGAGACACAAAAGACCCCAAAUGGCCAAAGCAGUCUUGAGGGGAAAAAAUGGAGCUGGAGGAAUCGGACUCCCUGACUUCAGACUAUACUACAAAGCUAUAGUAAUCAAGACAAUAUGGUAUUAGCACAAAAACAGAAAUAUAGAUCAAUGGAACAGGAUAGAAAGCCCAGAGAUAAACCCAUGGUCAACUAAUCUAUGACAAAUGAGGCAAGGAUAUACAAUGGAGAAAAGACAGUGUGUAUAAUAAGUGGUGCUGGGAAAACUGGACAGCUACAUGUAAAAGAAUGAAAUUAGAACACUCCCUAACACCAUACACAGAAGUAAACUCAGAAUGGAUUAGAGACCUAAAUGUAAGACCGGACACUAUAAAACUCUUAGAGGAAAGCGUAGGAAGAACACUUUGACAUAAAUCACGGCAAGAUCUUUUUUGAUCCACCUCCUAGAAUAAUGGAAAUAAAAACAAAGAUAAACAAAUGGGAUCUAAUGACACUUAAAAGUUUUUGCGCAGCAAAGGAAACCACAAACAAGACAAAAAGACAACCCUUGGAAUGGGAGAAAUAUUUGCAAAUGAAUCAACAAAGGAUUAAUAUCUAAAAUAUAUAAACAGCUCAUGCAGCUCAAAAUUAAAAAAACAACCCAAUCAAGAAAUGGGCAGAAGACCUAGAGACAUUUCUCCAAAGAAGACAUACAGAUGGCCAAGAAGCACAUGAAAAGCUCCUCAACAUCACUAAUUAUUAGAGAAAUGCAAAUCCAAACUACAGUGAGGUAUCACCUCACACCAGUUAGAAUGGGCAUCAUCAGAAAAUCUAGAAACAGCAAAUGCUGGAGAGGGUGUGGCGACAAGGGAAUCCUCUUGCACGGUUGGUGGGAAUGUAAAUUGAUACAGCCACUAUGGAGAACAGUAUGGAGGUUCCUUAAAAAACUAAAAAUAGAAUUACCAAAUGACACAGCAAUCCCACUACUGGGCAUAUACCCAGAGAAAACCGUGAUUCAAAAAGACACAUGCACCCCAAUGUUCAUUGCAGCACUAUUUACAAUAGCCAGGACAUGGAAGCAACCUAAAUGCCCACUGACAGACAAGUGGAUAAAGAUGUGGUACAUAUAUACAAUGGAAUAUUACUCUGCCAUAAAAAGGAAUGAAAUUGGGUUAUUUGUAGAGAUGUGGAUGGAUCUAGGGACUGUCAUACAGAGUGAAGUAAGUCAUAAAGAGAAAAAUAAAUAUCAUAUAUUAACACAUAUAUGUGGAACCUAGAAAAAUGGUACAGAUGAACUGGUUUGCAGGGCAGAAAUUGAGACACAGAUGUAGAGAACAAACGUAUGGACACCAAGGUGGAAGAGUGGCAGGGAUGGGGAGGUGGUGGUGGGAUGAACUGGGAGAUUGGGAUUGACAUGUAUACCCUAAUAUGUAUAAAAUGGAUAACUAAUAAGAACCUGAUGUAUAAAAAAAUAAAUAAAAUUAAAUUAAAAAAAAAGUAAGCACAAAUCAAACAAUUCUAAAUACAAGAGAAAUUAAGCUAAAUGAAUUUCAGGUUCAUGUGAACUGGGAAAUAUUCAGUAUUAAACUAAUAUCUGGUAUUAAUGUUUUAAGUUUGUUGAUCUAAUUAAUACAGACAUGUUUUUAGAGUCAUCAACAUUAAGUGUAAUACUUUUAUUGUACCUAGGUGUAAUAUAAGCUAAAUAAAACCUUGUUAUUUCUGUUACAAAUAUGUCAGCAGGGAAAGUAGCUUGAUGUGAAGAAACUUUUAAGGAAAGAAAAUGUAAAUGAGAUAGGUGCUUUUAGAUAAACUCUAUUAAGAAUAAUUAUGCUUUACAAAUGUCUAUCUAAAAUAGUCUCUCCAGGUUCUGGUAACUUGAAAUUGUAGAGUUGUGCUAAAUUAAGUUAAGUGAUGGAAGCUUAUUGAAUAGCCUAGGUCAUUCCCAAAUAAAAUAAGAUACUGAAACAUUAAUUACUGAACAUUGGCUUCCUUUUACAGAGAAACAAAAGGUAUUUAGGAUUAUAAAUGAAUAUGUUUCAUGCCACAUUCUCUAAAGAAAGCAAUUUUAGAAAAUAUCACUGGUAUUUAUGUUCACCAAUCUACAGAAUGCUAAUGUAAAGGACAGUUCAUAAUUGCUUACUUAGUUUUCAAAAGAAAUUAAGGUUUUAAGAGCUGAGGAUUCUAAUUUAAACAUGUAACUAAAGUUAAUAGAAAUAAUAAAGGAAACAUUUCAGUAUACAGUAGGAAAGUAGGAUGUAUGUUUCUAGUAAAGAAGUCAUGAGGAACGGAAUCGCAUUUUUUUAAGGGAAAAGGAAGUAGGUCUGACUUAUAGUUGGCUGUUUCUGAAUGGGAAAUAAAGUGAUGGAUACAGAAAGUCAUAAAAAGGUUUGUGGAAAGGGGACCCUGAGAAAAGAGUUUUGUGCAUGGUCUGGAUUGACUAAGGUUAAAAUAAAUUUAAUUGAAUAAAUGAAUGUUAUUUAUUUAUUUUUUAUUAUUUGUUCAUUUAUUUUUGGCCGUGUUGGGUCUUUGUUGCUGCACGUGGGCUUUCUCUAGUUGCAGCGGGUGGGGCUACUCUUUGUUGUGGUGUGCAGGCUUCUCACUGUGGUGGCUUCUCUUGUUGUGGAGCACGGGGGCUCUAGGCAUGUGGGCUCAGUAGUUGUGGCUCGCGGGCUCUAGAGCGCAGGCUAAGUAGUUGUGGUGCAUGGGCUUAGUUGCUCCGAGGCACGUGGGAUCUUCCCAGACCAGGGCUCAAACCCAUGUCCCCUGCAUUGGCAGGCGGAUUCUUAACCACUGCACACCAGGGAAGUCCUGUAAAUGAAUUUCAAAAGUAAGCGGGUGCAAAACUUGAAUUUGUUUUUUCUCUCUCAAGAGGGCAAGAUUUCUGAUAAUGUUGAAAUGCCUUUGAUAACAGAUUUCAAGUUUCUUUACCUUAUAAGUGAUCUGUUCUGUAUUUGCCUUUGGAAUCUUUUAUUGUUACUUGGGCUAAGUGAAUAACUAUUGUUUCACAGUGACUUGUGAUCCUAUCUGACUGAGUGUUCUAAAUCCUUUUUGAUAUUUUUUGACAGAACUUCCUAAAUCAACUUUUAAUGACAUCCUUUUGACCUCUAGCUAACUCUGGGAUGCUUCAAAGGGCCCCUGAUACAUCCCAAAGAGAGAUGUUAAACUAAUUAGAUUCAUUUGGUAUGUUAAAUUACAUGGGAAGUAAUGUCAAAUGAGUAAUAAAUCUUCUUAGGUUAUAUUGUAUGGUAAUGUUACUAAUAAAGAUAUCCUAGAAAUUAUAUGGAGUUCCUAAAAUUCUGAUAUGUCCUGGUAAAAUGUUAUCAGUCAUAAUUCUAGUUAUUAUCUUAAAGUGUUGUAUGUCACAGUAGUAACCAAGUUUCUUUGUUAAUUGCAUUGCAAUCAGAUUUUAAACGUGCUUAAGUUUUCUGUCAUUAUAGACACUUACAGUUUCACUCUAAUGCCUUUGCAAAAAUGCUUCUUCUUCAAGAAAACUUAUAGAAAGGACUUUUGGAUAAAUACAAGUUUCUGACUUUCAGACCAUAAUGCUGAACUGGGUAAGAAAUUGAAGAAUUCUAAUGGGAAACCUGAUGGCUUCAUAAAGCUGUUAACAAAAAGGAUUAGUUACAUAGGACUGAGUGAACUGGUGAAUAUGGUUGUAAAUCUUAUGGUUUCUAUCUGAAAAAUUACUGGUUUAAAUCUGUGUUUUCCAGGUGUAAGGAAAACCUUCCCCUCAAACUAAUUAUGACUUAGAGUAAUUUGGUAAAUUAUACCUUUGUAAGCAGGAUUAAAACAUUUAUCUUUGCUAUCUGUCCGCUCCAGACACUGGAAACUCUCAGGUUGCCAGUAGCUUUAUCAGAUAAAUUAGGAAGGCUACCUCACUAACAGGUACAGAAAACUCAAGGUAUUUUGGGACCUUGAAAAGGGAGGAAUUCACCUAGAUCUGUUAGGUGAAAUCUGUGAUAAGCCGUUGGUGACUUUCUUAGCCCUGAGAGGUAUUUUAAAAGUCCAGCCUGAGACUCCUUAUAAAAGUUUCAGCAAGCAAAAAGCCUAUAUGAUCAAUUAUAGUUACAUAUCAUCAGGCCAAGUGUAUUGAGACCAGAUUUAUUUUGCAAACAAAUUAGUCUUAAUUUGGUUAUAUUUGGUAGAAAUGAGGGUAAUUUUAGAGAGAAAAAGAUGUUUCAAUGAAUGUUAAAUCCCAGUUUUGUUAAUGGAGGUCUGUAUUUACUAAGACUCACUUCCAGGAUAGUUCCUUGCUGUUAUGUUAUAUUGAUAUAAAGUUAAAUUGUAUUAUUAAAAGCACACUCUAAGUUUGUUUUUGAAGCUUAUCUCAGUAAUCUAUCUUUGGAUGAAGAUCAUUUGCCCUAUGACCUGCAACCAGGGGACUAUGUAUAUUGGAAAAGACAUCAUUUAAAGGACUCACUCCAAUUCAGAUGGAAAGGCCCUCACCAGGUACCCUUAACUAGCUCAUGUGCAGCAAAACUAAAGGGAUCCACUCUUGGAUUCAUAUUUCCCACUUAAAAAGGGCUGCUGCACCGGACUGGUCUAUAGAGAGGACUGCUGACCUCAAACUCACCUUAAAACACCGCUCAAACAGAGGAAACUACACUCACACCAGGAUGAGAAGAAGACAACAUCAGAAGCAGACAGCUUACCCAAGAUGCUGGACCUGAUUCUAUUGUCAUUUAUAAAGUUUUCUUGACUUCUCAGACCUUUGCAUAUAAAUCAAAUGUUUUCUAUCAUGGACACGAUCCUAUGCUAGUUUAAAAAAUCAAUCCAAUUGUUGGGUUUGUGGCCAAUCACCUUUGUCUAGUACUUCUGGAUUACCUUGGUGGAUUGCUCUACUCCAAGCCUCUAAUUGGAUGGUCCUUAGGAAAUUUAUUUCAGAAGAAAGAAAGUUCAGUCCUGUUCAGGCUACUCUUGAUAUUACUAGAUGGGAUCCCCUCACCUAGACAAUUAAUAAUACCUGCUCUGACCCUGGCCAUAAAAAAAUGAAUUUUCCUCUAAAGUUACUCAAGCUCAAUCAGAGCAACAGCAAAAUUUCGGCCAAGGAAUAAAAGCUCCCGCAAUUAUGGGAUGGAUUUAUGUGGUUAACACCAGGCUAUGGUCAUUUAAGUUUUAAGGCACCCUUUCACCUUGGGAACAAUCAAAUUAUACUAAGGAUAAUCAGCGUAGUAACUAGGAAAUUGGGCUGGGAGCCUUAUGGACAGUGACAAUACACCAUUUCCCUGAAAGAUAACGAUUGGUACAGAACAGACUAAGUCAGGUGAGCUGAAGAUAUACUGGGCUGUACCUAAUGGAAGUUCUUGGCUGAAUUCUCACUUAUGACUUUAAUAAUAUUGCUAGCUAUGUUAUUUGCAUUUUUCCUGUUUUACAAGAUUGUUGUUUCUUGCAUUACCAAAUGUGUGACUGAGCCUCCAACAAAAAUAUAUAGUUUUAUAUGAGAUCAAUGAUUGUAAUACUGUAACUCUAGAUAUGGGAAGAUACAACAAGAGGGAAUUUUCCUGGACCAUAACAGAUUAGUAAGACAGGUGGUCCAGAGUCUUUAGUUACUGUUAAAAGACCUAGUCCAGUAAUAGCACACUGAGUGGCCUAUCAGCAAAAUCUUCACCAGACCUAGGAAUGAGCCUUCCUAGCACCAUGGGACAAAAUGGUCAUGAAAUGCCUCCCAAAUCAUGGUCAAAUUUAUGACCAUGAGGAGGCGCUGUCAACUACAAAUUGGCACUUGCCAUUGGCACUUACCAACUCCCUUUACAAGGAUUAAAUCAUGUGCUGCUGCAGCUACUGAUUUUCAACACCCCCGGAAAGGAGUUCAGGGUGGAGAGCAGAAAUGAGGCGCUCGGUGCUCUGGGAAAAACUGGCAGAAUAGGUCUUCAGACAGAUAUUUUCAGGACCGAUUUUAUGAGCCCAAUUCUUGUAUCUCCUCAUAUCUAGAAAAGCACUAAAAUCCUUCACGGUGAUGUCUGCUCCUCGUGACUAGCAGAAACCUUCUGCAAAAAAAUAUAUGCUUGAUUGCAUGCGUUCCCCCUUCACCAAAAUCACAUAUAUACUGACCUUCCCCCCUACCUCUCUGGAGCAGUUUCUCAGAGCUAUCGGAAAUGCUGUCUCCCGAGCUGCAGUCCUCAUUUUGCCCCAAAUAAAACUUAACUCGCAACUCUCACAUUGUGCAUUUUUUCUUAAGUCGACAGAAGCAAACACUCUAGUGGUGAGAGACACACUGUUAAAUAAACACAAGGCAUGCCAGAUGGUGUUAACUGCUGUGGAAAAUAAAUGUACCUUAAUAAAUGUAUAUUAUUAAAUGAAAGAAAACAAUCUGAAAAGGCUACAUACUGUAUGUAUUCUGGAAAAGGCAAAACCAUGGAGAGAGUAAAAAGAUCAGUGGUUGCCAAGGGUUUGGUAGAAGGAGGGACAGAUGAACGGGGGACACAGUGAAUUUUUAAGGCGGUGGAACUAUUCCGUAUGUUAUAUGUCAUUAUACAUUUGUCAAAACUCAUCAAGUAUUACACAGUGAACCCUAAUGUAAACUAUGGACUUUAGUUAAUGUAUUAAUACAGUCUCACCAUUACAACAAAUGUACUUUACUAUCGCAAGAUGUUAAUAAAUGGAAAGCUGGCAGAAGGAA